CUCUAGUGGGGAUAACCCACAAACAAACUACAUAGACAUUGAUAGUCUGAUGUACCAAACGAUAUAUAAGAUAUGGUCAUAUACAUCUUUUGGUAUAUUAGACUAUCAGUGUCUUUGGAAAACAAUAUUCCUGCUCCACCCACGGCCCCUCCUUAGGAGUGCCACCCAAAAACACGAGAUGAGCCAAAAAGUGUAUAGAAUCUCAGAUGAAACCAAAAAAAAUUGUAAUCCAUUUUGAGAGCCACAUUAAAUUUGCAGUGG